rnacentral:sRNA from 1 species
GUAUGUCUGUUUUAUAUGUAAUGUAGUA